rnacentral:rRNA from 1 species
GACGAACGCUGGCGGCGUGCUUAACACAUGCAAGUCGAACGGAAAGGCCCUGCUUUUGUGGGGUGCUCGAGUGGCGAACGGGUGAGUAACACGUGAGUAACCUGCCCUUGACUUUGGGAUAACUUCGGGAAACUGGGGCUAAUACCGGAUAGGAGCUCCUGCUGCAUGGUGUGGGUUGGAAAGUUUCGGCGGUUGGGAAUGGACUCGCGGCUUAUCAGCUUGUUGGUGUGGUAGUGGCUUACCAAGGCUUUGACGGGUAGCCGGCCUGAGAGGGUGACCGGCCACAGUGGGACUGAGAUACGGCCCAGACGGCUACGGGAGGCAGCAGUGGGGAAUAUUGCACAAUGGGCGGAAGCCUGAUGCAGCAACGCCGCAUGCGGGAUGACGGUCGUCGGGUUGUAAACCGCUUUCGCCUGUGACGAAGCGUGAGUGACGGUAAUGGGUAAAGAAGCACCGGCUAACUACGUG